UUUUCAAAACAGCACAACACAGAACUUCAAAAUCCAAAAGACAUCUCUGAAACUAGGUUUCAGCAUUCUCCAUGAACCCUUCAAGUGAUGUUCAACCCAACUCAGGACGGUUCUUCAGUUAUGGCAUAUUCUUAUUUUUUCCCAUGCUGCUCAUUUUUACUUUAUAAAUUAUUUCUUUUUCAGAAAAAAAUUUGUAUUACUUAUGUGAAGAGGACAUGGGAUUGGAGGCUCUAGAAGUCUGGGUCUAUGCUUCCACAAGGAGAAAAAAUAAAUAUCUAGACAUCUCAGCAAAACAAGAAGCUAAGAAAUCAAAACAAGCCUUCAGCCUUCCGAUAAAUGGAAAAAGCCGGAUCCUCAUUGGAGGGAGGCAAGUGGUAUGCGUUGGAGGCUGUCAUCAGCUCUGACCCCAACCCCCCUGGUGAGCUGAGCACAAAGGCAACUUGGAUGAGAUGCAGCUUGGGGCACUUUACAGAGGCUAGAUUGUAAAUUUGUCCAUUUAUGAGUGUCCUGCAGGGCUUCCCACCAGCUCUGUCUACAAAGCUAAAGCUCAAAGGAACAAAACAUAUCCAUAAAAUCUCCUCUUAUAGACACUGCUAAUUAAAGCACAGCAA
rnacentral:lncRNA from 1 species